rnacentral:tRNA from 1 species
GCCCAAGUGGCGGAAUUGGUAGACGCGCUGGUCUCAAACACCUGUGGUAGUAAUGCCGUGCCGGUUCGAGUCCGGCCUUGGGCA